GAACUUUCAGCUGCAGAUUAUCAUACCCAAGCUGUCCUUUGUACCUUUCAAAUAUAUUUUCGAGUGCUUCAACAAACCGACCGUGUAAAUCAAGCACCUCGUCACUUGUUGGAUUUGGAUUUUUCUUCACCUCAAUGGGUUUCCCCACCACCACAUGCAUCCGCCGCCUAUAAGGAAGGGGCGAUCCAAAAACUCCCCAGAAGACAAUUGGUGUGAACUUGAUCGCUCUAGAAAAUUGGAGGAAGAAGUUACCACCAGG
rnacentral:misc_RNA from 1 species